UGUACACGUGAGGAGUCGGCUUCCCUGGAGAAGGCUGGCUUCCCGCACACCACGCGGUUCACAGCGGUUUGCCGGGGCCAGUCCGACAGCCAGCCCACGCGAAGGCCACGUAACAGGAUUCCAAGACGCCCGUCUCCCCGGCUCCCGGUGGCUUCCCGCGCUCUGGAAACCAGCCUUCUGGCGGAAGUUCUUUCCGCGGAGGCGGAGCCACAGACGAGCUUGGCCACGCCCCUCGGCUCGUGCAUUUGUGUACUCGGUUUGGCCAAUCGAAACUCCGCUUCUUGCUGGGUGCGGAGUCUCACUCUCCAGUCAGCGAGUGUCGUCGUCGCUCGGGCAACAGCGUCCUAGAGACGCCGAGUGGGCUGGGCCUCUGCGACCGAGCGGCCGGGGGUCCGCGAGCGUAGCCAUCCACCUCUUCCCUAUGCACAGAGAUCUCUACAGCACCCAUAAUGUGACUCCUACAGCCGACUGGCAUAUGGAGACAGAACCAGCUCCUGGAGGAAGUUCAGUAGCCUGAUGCCGGCCCAGAGCAGGAAUCUACCAGGAGGCCACUGGCUGUUAAAAAGACAGUUGCUUUAAUAGAGCUUCUUUACAGAAUUCACAAAUUCAGAAAUAGUUCACUUGAAGGAAAUGAAACAGCACUAAGGCGAGCGCAGCGGCAGCGAGCAGCAGCGCCUCGGGCAAAGCCAAAGCCAGAUCUUAGACAACCGAAUUCAGAAAACGAUGAAACCUGCUUCAGCUGCCGGGCGGCCGGGGCCGCUGCACGCGCGGGUUUCCUGCGGCCAGAUUCCCGUUUCCUCCUAUAGGUGGCAGCCGCCGCCAAGCUUCCCUCCCUGGAGCCGGAGGCUGGGACGCCCCCGCGACUUGCCUCCGCCAGCCCCCCAGGACUUGCUUGGGCCUGGCUGCACUAUAAAUAGGAUGUGUUAAACACUCCUUGUCUGCUCGCAGGAGCUGGGGGAGAGAACGUAAUGGUUUCCAGCUCUUACAUUUAAAAGGCUGCCAGUGAAUCAGUCUUUGAGAUGGAACAGCUGUUUGACAGGCCAUGUGCGGUCAAUGUCCCCGACACAACUUGUUUUUCUGUUGCCUGUUGCCGUAUCUGUCAUCACCUUGGCUGUGGUAGCGAGUCUGAGAAUGUUCAUUAGGUAAGAGCAGAUUUCUGAGACACUUUCUGAAAUGAGAUUUUUGUAUCAUGACAGAGAAAGCACAUUACAAACAGAACAAGCUAAGCCUUUUCUUCAGGUGUGCUGGGUGGAACAGCAAGGCAUUUGUGCUGACAUAAGUGAUCACAAAACUACAAUAUUCGAUCCAAUUAAACUCAAGAUUCAUUAUUUUUUGGGCCACCACGAUGAGAUUGUGGUCCCUGCUGUCAUGACAUUCAUGGUCUAACAGGGAGCAGACACUGAGCAGUCACAUGGGUCACGAGUGUCAACUGAUGAAAGAGGGAGGCACUGGAUGACGCCGGAACCUCUACGUUGGAUGGAGGGGAAGAGAGUGCCGAUCCUAGACAAGAUCCAGGAGUGGAUGGACGGGUGUGUGUGUGUGUGCCCACACGCGUGUGUGUGUUGGGAGAAGACUGCUCCUUGAAUGGCAGGGCUGUGAAAAUCCUUCAUUCACUAAUUUGAUCAGUACUUGUGGAGCUCCAGUUAAGUGCUGGGUGCUCUGGGGCUGCAGGUACAGUGGUAUAAAAACCCCAUUUUAUUUCAUGGAGCCUGUCACCAAGUUAACGAUUUCCCAAAUACAAGUGUAAUUACCCAUGUGGUGAGUGCGGUGCAGAGGACAGGCUUCAGUGAGAGACUCCACAAG